GAUGAACGCUGGCGGCGUGCUUAACACAUGCAAGUCGAACGGUGAACGAGGGAGCUUGCUCCCUCCGGAUCAGUGGCGAACGGGUGAGUAACACGUGAGCAAUCUGCCCUGGACUCUGGGAUAAGCGUUGGAAACGACGUCUAAUACCGGAUACGAGGCGUGGGGCCAUCCCCAACGCCUGGAAAGAACUUCGGUCCAGGAUGAGCUCGCGGCCUAUCAGCUUGUUGGUGAGGUAACGGCUCACCAAGGCGACGACGGGUAGCCGGCCUGAGAGGGUGACCGGCCACACUGGGACUGAGACACGGCCCAGACUCCUACGGGAGGCAGCAGUGGGGAAUAUUGCACAAUGGGCGCAAGCCUGAUGCAGCAACGCCGCGUGAGGGACGACGGCCUUCGGGUUGUAAACCUCUUUUAGCAGGGAAGAAGCGAAAGUGACGGUACCUGCAGAAAAAGCACCGGCUAACUACGUGCCAGCCGCCGCCGUAAAAC
rnacentral:rRNA from 1 species